rnacentral:rRNA from 1 species
AGAGUUUGAUCCUGGCUCAGGAUGAACGCUAGCGGCAGGCUUAACACAUGCAAGUCGAGGGGCAGCAUGUCCAGCAAUGGAUGAUGGCGACCGGCGGAAGGGUGCGUAACGCGUGAGCAACAUGCCCUAUACAGGGAGAUACACCAGGGAAACUUGGUCUAAUAUCCCAUAGCAUUCAUUGAAGGCAUCUUUAAUGAAUUAAAGCUUCGGUGGUAUAGGAUUGGCUCGCGUGACAUUAGCCAGAUGGUGAGGUAACGGCUCACCAUAGCAAUGAUGUCUAGGGGUUUUGAGAGGAAGGCCCCCCACACUGGGACUGAGACACGGCCCAGACUCCUACGGGAGGCAGCAGUGAGGAAUAUUGGACAAUGGAUGGAAAUCUGAUCCAGCCAUGCCGCGUGCAGGAAGACGGCCUUAUGGGUUGUAAACUGCUUUUAUACGGGAGCAAUAAGGGUUACGAGUAAUCCGAUGAGAGUACUGUAUGAAUAAGGAUCGGCUAACUCCGUGCCAGCAGCCGCGGUAAUACGGAGGAUGCAAGCGUUAUCCGGAUUUACUGGGUUUAAAGGGUGCGCAGGCGGAACGACAAGUCAGUGGUGAAAUCUCCUGGCUCAACCAGGAAACUGCCAUUGAUACUAUCGUUCUUGAGUCCAGUUGAAGUAGGCGGAAUGUAGCAUGUAGCGGUGAAAUGCUUAGAUAUGCUACAGAACACCGAUAGCGAAGGCAGCUUACUAAACUGAAACUGACGCUCAUGCACGAAAGCGUGGGGAUCAAACAGGAUUAGAUACCCUGGUAGUCCACGCCCUAAACGAUGAUCACUCGUUGUUGGCAACUAUAUCGUCAGCGACUAAGCGAAAGCAUUAAGUGAUCCACCUGGGGAGUACGAUCGCAAGGUUGAAACUCAAAGGAAUUGACGGGGGCCCGCACAAGCGGUGGAGCAUGUGGUUUAAUUCGAUGAUACGCGAGGAACCUUACCAGGGCUUGACAUACGAUGGAAUGGUUGAGAGAUCAUCCAGCCCUUCGGGGUCGUCGUACAGGUGCUGCAUGGCUGUCGUCAGCUCGUGCUGUGAAGUGUUGGGUUAAGUCCCGCAACGAGCGCAACCCCUGCUAUCUGUUGCCAUCAAGUAAUGUUGGGGACUCAGAUGGAACUGCCGGUGACAAACCGGAGGAAGGUGGGGACGACGUCAAGUCAUCAUGGCCCUUAUGUCCUGGGCUACACACGUGCUACAAUGGCCGGUACAAAGCGCAGCUAAGCCGCGAGGUGGAGCGAAUCGCAAAAAGCCGGUCUCAGUACGGAUUGGAGUCUGAAACUCGACUCCAUGAAGUUGGAAUCGCUAGUAAUCGCAUAUCAGCAUGAUGCGGUGAAUACGUUCCCGGGCCUUGUACACACCGCCCGUCA